rnacentral:lncRNA from 1 species
GGGCUUUAUUCAUAAAAAAAGGGGGAUUUUUAACACUUCGGACAAUAACUCAAAAAGGCUUUCACCAAUGUCCAUGAAACUUUGGUGAAUUGUUUAUAUCUAUUGAUGUAAGCUCCCUUUCAACUUUUAUAAAUUUCAGAUUUUACAUUUCCGUGUUAUGAAUUUUUAUGCUUAAAAAAGGGGGGAUUUUCCCAUUUUGGGACAAUACAUUUAAAGCAUAAAAGACAAGUUAAAAGAGCAACGGGCGUAUCAUGCGCUAAAGCGCAGCCCUUUAUAUAAAUUU